rnacentral:misc_RNA from 1 species
GAUGAAGAACGCAGCGAAAUGCGAUAAGUAAUGUGAAUUGCAGAAUUCAGUGAAUCAUCGAAUCUUUGAACGCACAUUGCGCCCAUUAGUAUUCUAGUGGGCAUGCCUGUUCGAGCGUCAUUUCAACCCUUAAGCCUAGCUUAGUGUUGGGAGACUGCCUAAUACGCAGCUCCUCAAAACCAGUGGCGGAGUCUGUUCGUGCUCUGAGCGUAGUAAUUUUUUAUCUCGCUUCUGCAAGCCGGCCAGACGACAGCCAUAAACCGCACCCUCUCGGGGGGCACUUUUUUAAUGGUUGACCUCGGAUCAGGUAGGAAUACCCGCUGAACUUAAGCAGAUCAAUAAGCGGAGGA